rnacentral:rRNA from 1 species
ACUGCAGUCGACGCUUCUUUUCCCACCGGAGCUUGCUCCACCGGGAAAAGAGGAGUGGCGAACGGGUGAGUAACACGUGGGUAACCUGCCCAUCAGAAGGGGAUAACACUUGGAAACAGGUGCUAAUACCGUAUAACAAUCGAAACCGCAUGGUUUCGUUUUGAAAGGCGCUUUACGGUGCCGCUGAUGGAUGGACCCGCGGUGCAUUAGCUAGUUGGUGAGGUAACGGCUCACCAAGGCCACGAUGCAUAGCCGACCUGAGAGGGUGAUCGGCCACAUUGGGACUGAGACACGGCCCAAACUCCUACGGGAGGCAGCAGUAGGGAAUCUUCGGCAAUGGACGAAAGUCUGACCGAGCAACGCCGCGUGAGUGAAGAAGGUUUUCGGAUCGUAAAACUCUGUUGUUAGAGAAGAACAAGGGUGAGAGUAACUGUUCACCCCUUGACGGUAUCUAACCAGAAAGCCACGGCUAACUACGUGCCAGCAGCCGCGGUAAUACGUAGGUGGCAAGCGUUGUCCGGAUUUAUUGGGCGUAAAGCGAGCGCAGGCGGUUUCUUAAGUCUGAUGUGAAAGCCCCCGGCUCAACCGGGGAGGGUCAUUGGAAACUGGGAGACUUGAGUGCAGAAGAGGAGAGUGGAAUUCCAUGUGUAGCGGUGAAAUGCGUAGAUAUAUGGAGGAACACCAGUGGCGAAGGCGGCUCUCUGGUCUGUAACUGACGCUGAGGCUCGAAAGCGUGGGGAGCAAACAGGAUUAGAUACCCUGGUAGUCCACGCCGUAAACGAUGAGUGCUAAGUGUUGGAGGGUUUCCGCCCUUCAGUGCUGCAGCUAACGCAUUAAGCACUCCGCCUGGGGAGUACGACCGCAAGGUUGAAACUCAAAGGAAUUGACGGGGGCCCGCACAAGCGGUGGAGCAUGUGGUUUAAUUCGAAGCAACGCGAAGAACCUUACCAGGUCUUGACAUCCUUUGACCACUCUAGAGAUAGAGCUUCCCCUUCGGGGGCAAAGUGACAGGUGGUGCAUGGUUGUCGUCAGCUCGUGUCGUGAGAUGUUGGGUUAAGUCCCGCAACGAGCGCAACCCUUAUUGUUAGUUGCCAUCAUUUAGUUGGGCACUCUAGCAAGACUGCCGGUGACAAACCGGAGGAAGGUGGGGAUGACGUCAAAUCAUCAUGCCCCUUAUGACCUGGGCUACACACGUGCUACAAUGGGAAGUACAACGAGUCGCGAAGUCGCGAGGCUAAGCUAAUCUCUUAAAGCUUCUCUCAGUUCGGAUUGUAGGCUGCAACUCGCCUACAUGAAGCCGGAAUCGCUAGUAAUCGCGGAUCAGCACGCCGCGGUGAAUACGUUCCCGGGCCUUGUACACACCGCCCGUCACACCACGAGAGUUUGUAACACCCGAAGUCGGUGAGGUAACCUCCUGGAGCCAGCC